AGUCCUCUCCACUUCUCUCUCAUUGCUUCCUCAUUCACAUUUCUAAUUUUAGUUUUUCUUUUUUCUUUGUUACUCUCACUCUAUUCUAAUAGAGGAUUUCAAGUUAGUGGAAUUCCACGAUGUCAAUGCUCUCAGCUAGUGAGAAUAACAAACGAAGAAGGAAAAUUAAGAUCAGAAAUGUGAAAGAAGAACAGUGAAGAGGACUAGUUGUAAUUAAGGUUAUAUAUUAAAUAGUAUUUUAUCUUGUUAAUUAAGUACUCCUGAAGUAUUCUGGUGUAUAUAGAUGGUUAGAUAGAGAAUGUUUAUUAGGGUUAGGGUUUCUAAUAUUCUUGUAUAUAUAUAGAUAAUAGUAAUGACAAAGAUAAUACAGCUUUUCAUCCUCAACUGUCUUUUUCUAUCUUUCCAGAGCCUCCCUCUCAUAUGGUGCUUGCUACACUAUUUUACUAUUCAACUUUGCACGUUUGAACAAAGUUUUGUCAUGCUGCGGUUAGUGUAGAGCCUGCAAAAAAGUGUGAAUCUUUCACCGCAUAUGAGAACUUAGUGAGAGUAACUCGUGAAAGGUAGAUCUGUCCGAUUUAUUUAUCAAUGACAACAAAUGAGGCAGAGGUGAUGAAUCCAGAUACGCAAAGUCACUGCAGCAGAUUUUCAGAAAGAUGAUGGCUCAGUUUGAACAACAUUCUUCAAGUUGUUACUACCUUCACCCAAGUGAGACACCUGGAAUCGCUCUCACAACUACUCCACUGACCAUAUUGAACUACCACACCUGGCUGGUCCAGAUCUAUGUGGAUCUGUCUAAAAUCGAAGAAUAAAAUUAGAUUCAUUGAUGGCACGUUACUCAAACCAGCUCCAACCGAUGAUUCGUAUGAUGCUUGGGAUCGUUGCAACACGUUUGUGCUAUCAUGGCUACAUGGAUUAUUGAGUCCAUAAAUUUUGCAAAGUGUACUGUGGUGGGACAAUACACACGAAUUGGGGAAGGACCUCAAACAUCAAUUUUAUGAGGGUGAUCUAUUUCGAAUUGUUGAACUUGAGGAAGAUCUGUUCAGCACAAAGCAAGGUGAGUUAUCCAUCACCUCUUACUAUACAAAACUGAAAGGGAUCUGGGAGGAAAUAGACGAAUUUAGACCCAUACCAACUUGUGCUUGCUUGAGUAAUUAUAGCUGUGGAUUAGACAUAAUGAGGCAAUAUAGAUUGCAGUCUUAUAUGAUUCGUUUUCUUAGAGGUUUAAAUGACCAAUAUGCAAGUGUGUGUUCCCAUAUUAUGUUGCUUAAGCCCCUUCCAGAUGUGAACACUGUUUUUUCUCUACUUCUUCAACAAGAGAGACAAAUGAUGCAUCUCAUCAAACCAGAUUUUAGAAUGUUAGUGAAUGCUGUUCACACUAAAUCUAUAGGUGAAAGAGAGCAUAUCAGAUUAGCCAAGGCAGUGUCAGAGGAAGAGGAAGAGGAAGAGGACGUGGUAAAGGUGGCAGAGGUAUUCUAGAGGAGCUCCCAAACUUUGCUCUUAUUGUAGAAAAUAAGGUCACUUAGUGGAUACAUGUUACCAGAAGCAUGGCUUUCCACCAUACCUGCAACCAAAUCACUCUAAUGGAGUACCUCUUUCAGCUAAUUCAGUGAACUCAGUGGUAGUUGCGAGUAAUGUAGAAUGCAACCCCACAGUUAUCCAAAAUGAAGGCAAGAUCAGUUUGGAUGAGAUAUUCUCGGAUAGACAGAAAGAAGCACUUAUUGCACUAUUCUAGCAACAUAAAGAACCUCUUCAUGAUGAAAUUUGGCAACAAUUCAUGCUCCUUCAGCCGCUGCUGUAUCCUCCACCACAGAACCAAGAAGUUAUGAAGUUAUGAAGAGGCCAUCCUCUAUGAUUGCUGGCGUAAGACAAUAAGUGCUAAAUUGAAGGCUCUUGAGGAGAAUAAAACAUGGAAACUGACUUCCCUUCCUUUUGGAAAGAAGGCAAUCAGUUGCAAAUGGAUUUUCAAGAUCAAGUUCAAACCUAAUGGUGAGGUAGAACGCCACAAGGCAAGGCUCGUUGCAAGAGGUUUCACUCAAACGACAGGUUUUGACUACUUUGAUACCUUUAGUCCAGUCAUCAAACUCACUACUUUAAGAAUGCUUUUGGCUAUUGCUGCUACUAAAGGAUGGUAUGUCCACCAGUUAGACGUCAAUUAUGUUUUUCUUCAUGGAGAUUUACCAGAAGAGGUGUAUAUGAAACCUCCAUUAGGAUUGGCAGUGCCAGCUGGUUCAGUUUGUAAGUUAGAAAAAUCGUUAUAUGACUUGAAACAGGCUAGUAGACAGUGGCAUCAGAAGUUAUGUGUUCUCAUUGAAGAUGGAUAUACUUAAUCAAAAUCAAACAUUUGUUUGUUCACUAAA